GACGAACGCUGGCGGCGUGCCUAAUACAUGCAAGUCGAACGCAGUGGGGACGGGGGAGUAACACGUGGGUAACAUCCCAGCAGAGGGGAUAAAACGUGGAAACAGGCGCUAAACCGAUAGUGAUUGAUGGACCCGCGGUGCAUUAGCGAGUUUGUGAGGUAACGGCUCACCAAGGCCACGAUGCAUAGACGAGCUGAGAGGGUGAUCGGCCACAAUGGGACUGAGACACGGCCCAUACGCCUACGGGAGGCAGCAGUAGGUAAUCUUCCGCAAUGGACGAAAGUCUGACCGAGCAACGCCGCGUGAGUGAAGAAGGUUUUCGGAUCGUAAAACUCUGUUGUUAGAGAAGCGGUAUCUAACCAGAAAGCCACGGCUAACUACGUGCCAGCCGCCGCGGUAAUUC
rnacentral:rRNA from 1 species